rnacentral:tRNA from 1 species
UCCCUGGUGGCUCAGAUAGUAAAGUGUCUGCUUACAAUGCAGGAGACCCCAGGUUCAAUCCCUGGAUCGGGAA